UUACAGGCUUAACACAUGCAAGUCGAGGGGCAGCAUGGUCUUAUCUUGCUAAGGCCGACGGCGACCGGCGCACGGGUGAGUAACACGUAUCCAACCUGCCGUCUACUCUUGGACAGCCUUCUGAAAGGAAGAUUAAUACAAGAUGGCAUCAUGAGUCCGCAUGUUCACAUGAUUAAAGGUAUUCCGGUAGACGAUGGGGAUGCGUUCCAUUAGAUAGUAGGCGGGGUAACGGCCCACCUAGUCUUCGAUGGAUAGGGGUUCUGAGAGGAAGGUCCCCCACAUUGGAACUGAGACACGGUCCAAACUCCUACGGGAGGCAGCAGUGAGGAAUAUUGGUCAAUGGGCGAGAGCCUGAACCAGCCAAGUAGCGUGAAGGAUGACUGCCCUAUGGGUUGUAAACUUCUUUUAUAAAGGAAUAAAGUCGGGUAUGGAUACCCGUUUGCAUGUACUUUAUGAAUAAGGAUCGGCUAACUCCGUGCCAGCAGCCGCGGUAAUACGGAGGAUCCGAGCGUUAUCCGGAUUUAUUGGGUUUAAAGGGAGCGUAGAUGGAUGUUUAAGUCAGUUGUGAAAGUUUGCGGCUCAACCGUAAAAUUGCAGUUGAUACUGGAUAUCUUGAGUGCAGUUGAUGCAGGCGGAAUUCGUGGUGUAGCGGUGAAAUGCUUAGAUAUCACGAAGAACUCCGAUUGCGAAGGCAGCCUGCUAAGCUGCAACUGACAUUGAGGCUCGAAAGUGUGGGUAUCAAACAGGAUUAGAUACCCUGGUAGUCCACACGGUAAACGAUGAAUACUCGCUGUUUGCGAUAUACUGCAAGCGGCCAAGCGAAAGCGUUAAGUAUUCCACCUGGGGAGUACGCCGGCAACGGUGAAACUCAAAGGAAUUGACGGGGGCCCGCACAAGCGGAGGAACAUGUGGUUUAAUUCGAUGAUACGCGAGGAACCUUACCCGGGCUUAAAUUGCAGAUGAAUUACGGUGAAAGCCGUAAGCCGCAAGGCAUCUGCGAAGGUGCUGCAUGGUUGUCGUCAGCUCGUGCCGUGAGGUGUCGGCUUAAGUGCCAUAACGAGCGCAACCCUUGUUGUCAGUUACUAACAGGUUCCGCUGAGGACUCUGACAAGACUGCCAUCGUAAGAUGUGAGGAAGGUGGGGAUGACGUCAAAUCAGCACGGCCCUUACGUCCGGGGCUACACACGUGUUACAAUGGGGGGUACAGAGGGCCGCUACCACGCGAGUGGAUGCCAAUCCCCAAAACCUCUCUCAGUUCGGACUGGAGUCUGCAACCCGACUCCACGAAGCUGGAUUCGCUAGUAAUCGCGCAUCAGCCACGGCGCGGUGAAUACGUUCCCGGGCCUUGUACACACCGCCCGUCAAGCCAUGGGAGCCGGGGGUACCUGAAGUGCGUAACCGCGAGGAGCGCCCUAGGGUAAAACUGGUGAC
rnacentral:rRNA from 1 species